CCAGUAUGAAGUACAAGACUAACGGAAUAACCUUUUUGAUUCUUUAUCUACUACUUUCCUUGAGUUUAGAGGCGAUGAGUUGAAUUCUUGUAGGAAGGGUGAAAUCUGUUGAUAGCUGGAAGACGUUCAAAGGCGAAGGCGACAUCGACCUAGAUCUGACGCUGAGGCACGAAAGCAUGGGUAUAAAGAAGAUUAGAGACCUUCGUAGUCCAUGCUUAAACUAUGAGUGUUCAACGUCCUUAUUUUAAGUAAACUAUACUUUACUGAAUUGUUUAUAGGAAUUUAAGGGGGUUUGAAGUUAACGCGCGAAACA
rnacentral:rRNA from 1 species